GACUGCCAGAGACAUUGUGGAGGAGAUGGAAGUGGACAUGGUGCAGGAUGAGGAAGAAAGGAUGGAGGUGGAUGUGGAAGAGCUGGUGGAGGAGAUGGAAGUAGACGUGGAGGAUGACAUCGAGGAGAUGGAAGUUGACGAGAACAAUGAGGAGGAGCCCAUGGUCCUUGGAUGAAGAUGGAGCCCCACAAGACUGAUGGAGAAGAUGGCUGUAGAUAUUACGGCAGUGUAUAUAUGUUUGAAAUAGUAGAAGAUUUCUGUAAAUAUGUUCACCUUAGUACUUCACUGUAAAUAUGUUUUGAAGAUUGUUAGUCCCUAGGAUCCCAUGUAAAUAAAUCUCUAGAUUGUUA